UACGAGUGCCCCAAGCGUUAUCCGGAAUCAUUGGGCGUAAAGGGUGUGUAGGCGGUUGUGUUAGUCUUCUGUUAAAUUCUUCGGCUUAACCGGGGGUCUGCAGAGGAAACGGCACAACUAGAGGAUGCGAGAGGUGAAUGGAACUCAUGGAGUAGGGGUGAAAUCCGUUGAUAUCAUGGGGAACACCAAAAGCGAAGGCAAUUCACUGGCGCACUCCUGACGCUGAGACACGAAAGCGUAGGUAGCGAAUGGGA
rnacentral:rRNA from 1 species